rnacentral:rRNA from 1 species
AUUGAACGCUGGCGGCAUGCCUUACACAUGCAAGUCGAACGGUAACGGGCCUUCGGGUGCCGACGAGUGGCGAACGGGUGAGUAAUGCAUCGGAACGUACCUUUCAGUGGGGGAUAACGUAGCGAAAGUUACGCUAAUACCGCAUAUUCUGUGAGCAGGAAAGCAGGGGAUCGCAAGACCUUGCGCUGAUUGAGCGGCCGAUGUCAGAUUAGCUAGUUGGUGAGGUAAAGGCUCACCAAGGCGACGAUCUGUAGCGGGUCUGAGAGGAUGAUCCGCCACACUGGAACUGAGACACGGUCCAGACUCCUACGGGAGGCAGCAGUGGGGAAUUUUGGACAAUGGGGGCAACCCUGAUCCAGCCAUGCCGCGUGAGUGAAGAAGGCCUCGGUUG